UACGUAGGGUGCGAGCGUUAAUCGGAAUUACUGGGCGUAAAGCGUGCGCAGGCGGCGCGUUAAGACAGGUGUGAAAGCCCCCGAGCUUAACUUGGGAAUUGCGCUUGUGACUGGCGUGCUGGAGUGUGGCAGAGGGAGGUGGAAUUCCACGUGUAGCAGUGAAAUGCGUAGAGAUGUGGAGGAACACCGAUGGCGAAGGCAGCCUCCUGGGCCAGCACUGACGCUCAUGCACGAAAGCGUGGGGAGC
rnacentral:rRNA from 1 species